rnacentral:rRNA from 1 species
CAGAGUUUGAUCAUGGCUCAGGACGAACGCUGGCGGCGCGCCUAACACAUGCAAGUCGAACGAGAGAGAAGGAGCUUGCUUCUUCGAUCGAGUGGCGAACGGGUGAGUAACGCGUGAGGAACCUGCCUCAAAGAGGGGGACAACAGUUGGAAACGACUGCUAAUACCGCAUAAGCCCACGGGUCGGCAUCGACCAGAGGGAAAAGGAGCAAUCCGCUUUGAGAUGGCCUCGCGUCCGAUUAGCUAGUUGGUGAGGUAAUGGCCCACCAAGGCGACGAUCGGUAGCCGGACUGAGAGGUUGAACGGCCCACAUUGGGACUGAGACACGGCCCAGACUCCUACGGGAGGCAGCAGUGGGGAAUAUUGCACAAUGGGGGAAACCCUGAUGCAGCGACGCNGCGUGGAGGAAGAAGGUCUUCGGAUUGAAACUCCUGUAGUGAGGAAGAAAAAGGCGGA